rnacentral:rRNA from 1 species
CCUACGGGUGUCAGCAGUGAGGAAUAUUGGUCAAUGGCCGCAGGGCUGAACCAGCCAAGUCGCGUGAGGGAUGACGGUCCUAUGGAUUGUAAACCUCUUUUGUCAGGGCGCAAAGGGCGCCACGUGUGGCGUUUUGCGAGUACCUGAAGAAAAAGCAUCGGCUAACUCCGUGCCAGUAGCCGCGGUAAUACGGAGGAUGUGAGCGUAAUCCGGAUUAAUUGGGUGUAAGGGGUUCGCAGGCGGAAUGUCAAGUCAGCGGUAAAAUUUCGGGGCUCAACCCCGCCGUGCCGUUGAAACUGGCGUUCUUGAGUGAGCGAGAAGUAUGCGGAAUGCGUGGUGUAGCGGUGAAAGGCAUAGAUAUCACGCAGAACUCAGAUUGCGAAGGCAGCAUACCGGCGCUCAACUGACGCUCAUGCACGAAAGCGUGGGUAUCGAACAGGAUUAGAUACCCUAGUAGUC